AUUGAACGCUGGCGGCAUGCCUUACACAUGCAAGUCGAACGGUAGAGGGGCAACCCUCGAGAGUGGCGAACGGGUGAGUAAUGCAUCGGAACGUGCCCAGUAGUGGGGGAUAGCCCGGCGAAAGCCGGAUUAAUACCGCAUACGACCUACGGGUGAAAGCGGGGGAUCGCAAGACCUCGCGCUAUUGGAGCGGCCGAUGUCAGAUUAGGUAGUUGGUGGGGUAAAAGCCUACCAAGCCGACGAUCUGUAGCUGGUCUGAGAGGACGACUAGCCACACUGGGACUGAGACACGGCCCAGACUCCUACGGGAGGCAGCAGUGGGGAAUUUUGGACAAUGGGCGCAAGCCUGAUCCAGCCAUGCCGCGUGCGGGAAGAAGGCCUUCGGGUUGUAAACCGCUUUUGUCAGGGAAGAAACGCUCUGGGUUAAUACCCUGGAGUAAUGACGGUACCUGAAGAAUAAGCACCGGCUAACUACGUGCCAGCCGCCGCGGUAA
rnacentral:rRNA from 1 species